UUCCUUUUUCUUUUGUCGUAUGUAAACUGUUGAUGAUUAACAUGGAGAACAAAGCUUUUGUAGAUUGUUGCUACUUUUUCUGGGUUUCUCUUAUCUUCUUCUUCCCUGUGCUGCUGUUCCCACAACUAGAAACCUCAAAUCAAACAAGGAACUCCUUUCUUCUGUCCAAGAUUUACUUGUUAAGGAUGUAAGAAAUUGAGUGAGGGGGCGAGGAGCUGUUGGAGGAAGCUGAUGGGUUGAAUGGGAAAGGUUGUUACUGGAAAGCACUGAUU